GUUUAAAGGGUGCGCAGGCGGAAGAUCAAGUCAGCGGUAAAAUUGAGAGGCUCAACCUCUUCGAGCCGUUGAAACUGGUUUUCUUGAGUGAGCGAGAAGUAUGCGGAAUGCGUGGUGUAGCGGUGAAAUGCAUAGAUAUCACGCAGAACUCCGAUUGCGAAGGCAGCAUACCGGCGCUCAACUGACGCUCAUGCACGAAAGUGUGGGUAUCGAACAGGAUUAGAUACCCUGGUAGUCCACACAGUAAACGAUGAAUACUAAUUGUUCGGGGAGAAUGAUCCCUGAGUGAUACAGCGAAAGCGUUAAGUAUUCCACCUGGGGAGUACGCCGGCAACGGUGAAACUCAAAGGAAUUGACGGGGGCCCGCACAAGCGGAGGAACAUGUGGUUUAAUUCGAUGAUACGCGAGGAACCUCACCCGGGCUCAAACGACACAGGAAUACUUUUGAAAGGAGGUAGCUCUACGGAGUCUGUGUCGAGGUGCUGCAUGGUUGUCGUCAGCUCGUGCCGUGAGGUGUCGGCUUAAGUGCCAUAACGAGCGCAACCCCCAUCGCCAGUUACCAGCAAGUCAAGUUGGGGACUCUGGCGAGACUGCCGGCGCAAGCUGUGAGGAAGGCGGGGAUGACGUCAAAUCAGCACGGCCCUUACGUCCGGGGCGACACACGUGUUACAAUGGCAGGUACAGAGAGAAGCAAUGCGGCGACGCAAAGCGGAACUUGAAAGCCUGUCUCAGUUCGGAUUGGAGUCUGCAACUCGACUCCAUGAAGCUGGAUUCGCUAGUAAUCGCGCAUCAGCCAUGGCGCGGUGAAUACGUUCCCGGGCCUUGUACACACCGCCCGUCAAGCCAUGGAAGCCGGGAGUGCCUGAAGUGUGCAACCGCAAGGAGCGCCCUAAGGUAAAACUGGUGACUGGGGCUAAGUCGUAACAAGGUAGCCGUAA
rnacentral:rRNA from 1 species